rnacentral:rRNA from 1 species
CCUACGGGAGACAGCAGUGGGGGAUAUUGCACAAUGGGGGAAACCCUGAUGCAGCGACGCCGCGUGAGUGAAGAAGUAUUUCGGUAUGUAAAGCUCUAUCAGCAGGGAAGAAAAUGACAGUACCUGACCAAGAAGCCCCGGCUAACUACGUGCCAGCAGCCGCGGUAAUACGGAGGGGGCAAGCGUUAUCCGGAUUUACUGGGUGUAAAGGGAGCGUAGACGGUUAUGGAAGGCUGGAGUGAAAGCCCGGGGCCCAACCCCGGGACUGCUUUGGAAACUGGGUAACUGGAGUACAGGAGGGGCAGGCGCACUUCCUGGUGUAGCGGUGAAAUGCGUCGAUAUCAGGAGGAACACCGGCGGCGCGGGCGGCCUGCUGGACUGCACCUGACGUUGGUGCUCGAACGCGUGGGGAGCACACAGGAUUAGAUACCCUUGUAGUC